rnacentral:rRNA from 1 species
UACGAAGGGGGCUAGCGUUGUUCGGAAUUACUGGGCGAAAGCGCACGUAGGCGGAUAUUUAAGUCAGGGGUGAAAUCCCAGAGCUCAACUCUGGAACUGCCUUUGAUACUGGGUAUCUUGAGUAUGGAAGAGGUAAGUGGAAUUGCGAGUGUAGAGGUGAAAUUCGUAGAUAUUCGCAGGAACACCAGUGGCGAAGGCGGCUUACUGGUCCUAACUGACGCUGAGG